rnacentral:rRNA from 1 species
UACGUAGGGGGCAAGCGUUGUCCGGAAUCAUUGGGCGUAAAGAGCGUGUAGGCGGCCCGGUAAGUCUGUUGUGAAAGUCCAGGGCUCAACCCUGGAAUGCCGAUGGAUACUGCCGGGCUAGAGUUCGGAAGAGGCGAGUGGAAUUCCUGGUGUAGCGGUGGAAUGCGCAGAUAUCAGGAGGAACACCUAUAGCGAAGGCAGCUCGCUGGGACGACACUGACGCUGAGACGCGAAAGCGUGGGUAGCAAACAGG